rnacentral:lncRNA from 1 species
GAUAAAUUUCAGCAAUGCUUUCCUAUAUACAUUGCAUCGCAGAUGUAUUCAGCAACUUACCAAAAACAGAAAAGUCACAUAUCUUGACUUGUGUAGAAGUUUGAACUAAUCUGCCAUUCCCUUUCUACUUAUAUAUCAACCUUCAUCUCAUGUCAUGGAAAUACUAUUAUUUCUCUGUGUAUGAGGGAAAGUGAGCUUGCCACUGAUGAAGGUGAAACAAUGUAAUAGGACAACUGCCUGGAACACUGAAGAAUCACAAAUUCAGUCCCCAAAAGAAGACAGUGACAAACCUGUUCUAUAUCUAUCAAGAAAAUGCCAUGCAGAUAUUCGUGUAGCUACCAGCAGUUGACCCAACUCACAAAACCAAAANCCACACAUUUUCUGCCAAAUGGCACUCAGAACAACACAAAACAAACAUGGUUCUACUUUGCUGAAAUUAAUCACGGAGACAAACAGAAUGUAAAAGAAGUGAAGUUUGAGGAAUGCAACUUUAAAAAAAAAGAAAGGAUGAGGAAGAAUUUGCACAGAAAGAGGGAUGUCUGAAGGAUAUACAUCUCUAGCUUGUUGGCAUGUUUUAUUACCAUAUGCAGAAUAAAUUCUUCCUUUAUCUUGCA